rnacentral:misc_RNA from 1 species
CGCACCCAAAAGCUUACGGCAGCGGCAGCAAGCAAUAGCCAAAUCCAUCUCCAUGUACAUAUAUUUGAUUGUAUGAAUACACCUACAUGAGGAGGUAAUACAUUGCUGGUGUCGUCAUUAACAGGUUCAAAGAAUUUCGUGCGAACAAAAAGCUGAAACUAUCUUUUUCUUUUUGCAACUCUCCGGUUGAAUUGAAUAUCCAGUGUAUCAACAAUUUUUUCUCAAAAAACUUGCGUCCAAGCUUUUUAAUGCAUUAUCAGUAGCAUUUUCCAAAAAAAGAGUCGUAAUCCAAUGCAGAUCACUUAAUUCAAAGAAAACCAUCAACUAGUGGACACGUUUUCUGGUCACAAUUGAAUAGCACAUGGAAAUACAGCGUAUUGCGCAAUAAGCUCUCACGUAUAGGACUUCAUUAACCAGUAGAAACUGUUAACACUGGCUUAAUUACCCAAUUACUAUCCUUACAACAACAGAUGUCAUCCCCUGCACCGCUAAACCCAUCGGUAUAAGCCGAUGCUUAUGACUCCACAAACAAGCGCCGCAAUAUGUACACUCAGCGGAUGUGAAGUUAAUUGGGUCACAGCGAUCGCAGAACCAUGGCAAAAAUUGAUGAAUAUCAACAAAAGUUCUUAAUUUAUUCUUCAAUUUCCAAACCAAAGUGUUCCCUCAGGAUCCUCUUGGAGGUCCUUCCAAAUCCCUUGGCCACUUCUUCCAUAUCCUUGAGUUUAGCGACUUCCUGUUUUAUCUGAUCCACCCUGUUUAAGACAGCAUUCAGCAAGACCUCCUUGUUGGUACUGGACGUGCCGCAUAUCCAUUCAGACCUUUCCCUUUCAAGUUGCUGAUAGAGAUUAUGAAGAUACUCCUUUUGAGCAUAAAGUUGUUCCUCUGCAAUUUUGUAUUCAGAUGCCUGAGACUUUUGUAGUUCAUGGAGAGCCUUAUCAAUCUCAUCCUCCAGUUUUAGAACUUCAGCCCGGUAAUCAGAAGACAUAGAUAAAGUAUCAGGCAAUUUUAUAAUAGUGUCUAAUUCUUGAUUAUUAGUAACUUCCACCAUCACAUCAGGAGAGACACCUGUGGAAAUAGCUGAGACAUCCUCUUUGGCUUUCCAUAUAUCCUCAAGAAUGGUCCCGCAUUUAAGCUGAUGUCAAUACCAGAUCAGUAAACUGCUAGCUUUAUCAACUCCAAAGGGAAACAGGAAUAAAUUUCCUCAUAAAAAUUCCAUCAUUCGAAUACCUAGAGUACAACAGCUUUACCUUUGCAAUGGCUGAUUCAAUUUGGUUCAGCAGUCCCUUUGUUCUGCUUUUCUGGGACCCACGUAAAAUGCAAAUGCCAACAGUUAAUAUUUUUUCUACUUCUUCACAAGAAUCAACAGAUUUGCAGGUUUGCAAAAGACUCAUGACAUGUGGAACCAAAUCUUUCUUUGCAUCACAACGGCGGCAGUAAUACUCAACAUCUAGGCCAAUGCUUCCACCAACUGUCCCAGCCAUGUAUGUCCGAAGAGCGCAAUCAAUGUGAGCAACAUGGCCACACAUAUAACCCUCACUGACAAAAGCCUCACAUUUUAUGUAACUGUAGCCUCCAUACUUUGCAUUUAUGGUCUUGCAACACAAAAUACAACAACAAUCACGGCAGAAAUGAGGUUCACUGCAACAAAUGUCACAAGGCAUGGCAGCUAUAGAUAGAUUUUCUACUUGUACCAUGAGACUAUUGCACCUCUUAUUUCCAGCCUUACAUCUUGCACCAUCAGACUGGGAAUCAGACUCAGAAUUUUCAGCCGUUUCUUCAAAAGGUAAACAAGUUUGCCCCUCUAAAUUACCAUUUGUUGGCGCCAUCUUUGAAGGUAUCCUCCAGCUGAAUGAAGCAAAAAACUCUUCAACAUUUGCAUCAGGGAAUUUUGAUCGGAUAUAGCGUUCAACUGAAAGCUUGCUUGCAAAUCCACGUUUCUUACCUGGCGUAUUCUCAAGACGACCAAGACGGCGUGGAAGGUACAAGUACCUAUCCAAGAAAUGGCCAUUAAAGGCAACUCGUCUUCCUACUCUCCAACUCCAAAUGUCACCAGGUUUUGGCCAAUCCACAGGAGCAUAUGGCAAACCUUCACCAGACUCCUCAGGUGCAACUGGCCUUAGAUGGGAACCAUUUUCCCUUAUCUUUGGUAUACUUCCAUUACUUUCCUUAUCAAUUUCCAUAAAUUCCAUUCUAAGCUUACGGGUUGCUGGGCAACUGAUCACGCUCACGCCAAGAAGACUCGGAAGAGAGAUUAGAGUUCCAACUUCCUCUGGAUCAGCUAUCUGAUAAUAUAGAGAUCGAAUUCAAAGAGAAGGGAAAUAGGAAACGAGUUUUCGGAAACACAACCAAAAUCAACUGUGCCAGAGAGAAAUUUCCAACUAAAGAAGAGGGUCUGAUUCUCGAAUUCUUUAACUAAAUCAAUCAAACGAUUCCAUGAAGCUCCGGUCUUUACUUUACAUUCAGACCUCGGUAACUCAGAGUUUCUCUAUAAAGAAUUGGAGAAGAAGUGAGGGCUUGAAUUCGGCGCUUCGAGAAAACAAAUUUUGGAAAACGAAAAAUGAUUCGAGAGGAGGGGGGAAAUUCAAUUUAAAGACACUUUAAUUCCUAAACUACCUCACGAAAACACAGAAAUGAUGCGCCAAUGAAAAACCCUAACCAACUGACAACAAGGAGAGAGACAACAACAAUGGCACCGCUCACCGUUCCCCAGCGCUUGCAUUCG